rnacentral:rRNA from 1 species
UAUGCUUUGUCCAAAGAUUAACCCAUGCAAGUCUAAUUUUACCACAUCGUGGGAAACUGCAAACGGCUCAUUAAAUCAGUUAUAAUUUACUUGACAUUCAGGUUACUAUCGGAUAACCGGGGUAAUUCUAAAGCUAAUACCUACUAAAACCCUGUUUUGCGGGCCGUAUUUAUUGGAUUCAAACCUGGGGCCCCGGGCGUGGUGAUCCACAACACCUUAACGGAUCGGGCGUGUAUGCGUGCAAUGUUUAAAUCAGAUUUCGCCCAAAUCAACUUUCAAUGGCAAGGUCGGGGCUUCACCAUGGUGAUAACGGUUAACGGGGAAUUAGGGUUAGAUUCCGGAAAGGAAGCCUAAAAAAUGGCUCCGCCGUCCAAGGAUGGAAGCAGGCGCGCAAAUUACCCAAUGCCAACACGCCGAGGUAGUGCCGAAAAUUAACUAUGCGGGGCCGCAAGGCGCUGCAAUUGGAAUGGUUCCAAUGAAAAUAGCUAAACAAGUAAGGAU